rnacentral:lncRNA from 1 species
CAUGGGGCUGGCAGCAGCCGCUUUGAAUCCUGAAUGUCGUGACAGUAAUGAUAACAGUAAUAAUGAUAACAGCAAUGAUGAAGUCUCACAUUUAAAAUUUUCAAGUCACUCAUCACAUCCCAACUCACUCCCUUCAUUACCUUUUUUUCUACUGGAGUCUUCCUGUGUGCCUCAGUCAGACCAUUUUGUAUGUACAAUGACCUACAAUGAGAUUUAACAUGCUGUUUGCAGAUCCUCCUUUCUCUGGGUCACCCGAAAAUAAGCCACAAACAAAG